AGAGUUUGAUCCUGGGCUCAGAAUCAACGCUGGCGGCGUGCCUAACACAUGCAAGUCGAACGAGAAAGUACUCUUCGGAGUGCGAGUAAAGUGGCGAACGGGUGAGUAACGCGUGGGUGAUCUACCCUUUGGAGGGGGAUAACCCGGGGAAACCCGGGCUAAUACCGCAUAAGCCUGCAUUUGUAAGCGAGUGCAGGGAAAGUUUUCGGAUACCGAAGGAGGAGCCCGCGUCCGAUUAGCUAGUUGGUGAGGUAAGAGCUCACCAAGGCGACGAUCGGUAGCCGGUCUGAGAGGACGGACGGUCACACUGGGACUGAGACACGGCCCAGACUCCUACGGGAGGCAGCAGUGGGGAAUUUUGGGCAAUGGGCGAAAGCCUGACCCAGCAACGCCGCGUGGAGGAUGAAGGUUUUCGGAUCGUAAACUCCUGUCUAGAGGGACGAAGAAAGUGACGGUACCUCUGGAGGAAGCCCCGGCUAACUCCGUGCCAGCAGCCGCGGUAAUACGGGGGGGGCAAGCGUUGUUCGGAAUUACUGGGCGUAAAGGGCGCGUAGGCGGUUUCGGAAGUCAUGGGUGAAAGUCCUCGGCUCAACCGAGGGAUUGCCUGUGAAACCACGGGACUGGAGUGCUGGAGAGGGAAGCGGAAUUCCCAGUGUAGCGGUGAAAUGCGUAGAUAUUGGGAGGAACACCUGUGGCGAAGGCGGCUUCCUGGACAGACACUGACGCUGAGGCGCGAAAGCCAGGGGAGCAAACGGGAUUAGAUACCCCGGUAGUCCUGGCUGUAAACGAUGAACACUUGGUGUGGGGGGUGAUGAAAGUCCCUCUGUGCCGGAGAGAACUCAUUAAGUGUUCCGCCUGGGGAGUACGGCCGCAAGGCUGAAACUCAAAGGAAUUGACGGGGGCCCGCACAAGCGGUGGAGCAUGUGGUUUAAUUCGACGCAACGCGAAGAACCUUACCGGGGUUUGAACUGCACCUGAGCGAUCUAGAGAUGGAGAGGUUCCCUUAGGGGACAGGUGUAGAGGUGCUGCAUGGCUGUCGUCAGCUCGUGUCGUGAGAUGUUGGGUUAAGUCCCGCAACGAGCGCAACCCUUGUCUGUAGUUGCCAUCAGGUCAAGCUGGGCACUCUACGGAGACUGUCGGCGAGAAGCCGGAGGAAGGUGGGGAUGACGUCAAGUCCUCAUGGCCUUUAUGUCCCGGGCUACACACGUGCUACAAUGGGCGGUACAGAGGGCAGCGAACCUGUGAAGGCAAGCGAAUCCCAGAAAACCGCUCUCAGUUCGGAUUGCAGUCUGCAACUCGACUGCAUGAAGUUGGAAUCGCUAGUAAUCGCGGAUCAGAACGCCGCGGUGAAUACGUUCCCGGGCCUUGUACACACCGCCCGUCACAUCACGAAAGUGGGCUGUACUAGAAGCCGCCGGCCUAACCUUAGGGAAGGAGGCGUCGACGGUAUGGCUCAUGAUUGGGGUGAAGUCGUAACAAGGUA
rnacentral:rRNA from 1 species